rnacentral:rRNA from 1 species
CACGUAGUUAGCCGGGGCUUUCUUCUCAGGUACCGUCACUCCGUUAGCAGUUACUCUAACGGACGUUCUUCCCUGGCAACAGAGCUUUACGAUCCGAAAACCUUCAUCACUCACGCGGCGUUGCUCCGUCAGACUUUCGUCCAUUGCGGAAGAUUCCCUACUGCUGCCUCCCGUAGGAGUCUGGGCCGUGUCUCAGUCCCAGUGUGGCCGUUCACCCUCUCAGGUCGGCUACGCAUCGUCGCCUUGGUGAGCCGUUACCCCACCAACUAGCUAAUGCGCCGCAGGCCCAUCCGUAAGUGACAGAUUGCUCCGCCUUUCCCAAGUCCCUCAUGCGAGAGACUUGCGUAUCCGGUAUUAGCUACCGUUUCCGGUAGUUAUCCCAGUCUUACGGGCAGGUCGCCUACGUGUUACUCACCCGUCCGCCGCUAAGUUUAUCAGGAGCAAGCUCCCGAUAAACUCCGCUCGACUUGCAUGUAUUAGGCACGCCGCCAGCGUUCGUCCUGAGCCAGGAUCUAAA